UACGUAGGGCGCAAGCGUUGUCCGGAAUUAUUGGGCGUAAAGAGCUCGUAGGCGGCCUGUUGCGUCCGCUGUGAAAUCCUGGGGCUCAACCCCGGGCGUGCAGUGGAUACGGGCUGGCUGGAGGCAGGCAGGGGAGAACGGAAUUCCUGGUGUAGCGGUGAAAUGCGCAGAUAUCAGGAGGAACACCGGUGGCGAAGGCGGUUCUCUGGGCCUGUACUGACGCUGAGGAGCGAAAGCGUGGGGAGCGAACAGG
rnacentral:rRNA from 1 species